AACGAACGCUGGCGGCAUUCCUAACACAUGCAAGUCGAACGAUACCUUCGGGUCUAGUUGCGCACGGGUGCGUAACGCGUGGGAACCUGCCCUUAGGUUCUGAAUAACUCCCCGAAAGGGGUGCUAAUACCGGAUAAUGUCUUCGGACCAAAGAUUUAUCGCCUUUGGAUGGGCCCGCGUUGGAUUAGCUAGUUGGUAGGGUAAAAGCCUACCAAGGCGACGAUCCAUAGCUGGUCUGAGAGGAUGAUCAGCCACACUGGGACUGAGACACGGCCCAGACUCCUACGGGAGGAAGCAGUGGGGAAUAUUGGACAAUGGGCGAAAGCCUGAUCCAGCAAUGCCGCGUGAGUGAUGAAGGACUUAGGGUUGUAAAGCUCUUUUACCCGGGAUGAUAAUGACAGUACCGGGAGAAUAAGCUCCGGCUAACUCCGUG
rnacentral:rRNA from 1 species